rnacentral:rRNA from 1 species
UACGGAGGGGGCAAGCGUUGUUCGGAAUUACUGGGCGUAAAGGGCGCGUAGGCGGAACAUUAAGUUAGGGGUGAAAGGCCUGGGCUCAACCUGGGAACGGCCUCUAAGACUGAUGAUCUAGAGUUCGGAAGAGGAUGGCGGAAUUCCCAGUGUAGAGGUGAAAUUCGUAGAUAUUGGGAAGAACACCGGUGGCGAAGGCGGCCAUCUGGUCCGACACUGACGCUGAGGCGCGAAAGCGUGGGGAGCAAACAGGAUUAGAAACC